UGCCCAGCAACUCCUAUCCCUACCUCCUCGCGGUACUGGCCGGGGUACGAGUAACCUUAGGGAAGAUCGGGUAACCAACCCCCGGUGGGUACUUUGGUCGUAUGCUGACAGGGAAGG
rnacentral:ribozyme from 1 species